AAAGAAUUACUUCUGCUGGCGUCUGGCUGCUCUUCGUAUCCUGCUCACUAUCACAGCAGGAUACGAAGAGCAGCCAGACGCCAGCAGAAGUA